UGAAUAUUUCAUGGUUGCAUACUUUUUACCUUUCAUCCAAGAAUAAGUUCAAGCUGCCCAAAGUUAUUCCAAGCCUGUCAAUGACCCAUUCUCAAACACAUAUAAUCCAGGUUGGAGGAACCACACCAAUUUUUUUUGGAGACCCCAACAGACUCAGGCUCAGACCUAAAUUCUUUCUGUGCAAAACUUUCAGAAUAGGCCCCAAUAUCAGAAUUAUGUCUAUGAUAGAGGUCUGUCUAGUCAGCCUACCCAGCCAUCC
rnacentral:lncRNA from 1 species